AUGGAACUUUAGAAUCUUCAAGUGUGUUGGCUUUAAUAUUGUAUUCUUUACGCGGUUCUCAGCGAAUCAACCACCGACCGCGAUUAGACUCCUCCUUCUAAGAACCAACAUAAAUAAUCAAUCAUUCUAUAUAUAUAUAUAUUCUCCAUUACUCAAUUAUUCUUCAUCUACAACCUGUAACUUUAUUUUCUCUUCAUAUUCUCCAUUACUCAAUUAUUCUUCAUCUACAACCUAUAACUUUAUUCUCUCUUCAUCAUUUCCUUUGCGUAUCCGCCUUAACGUUUGUUCAAACAUGAGUUCUUCUAACAAUCAAAACCAGCCUUCAGUGACAUGCCCGCCAACCUCAACCGGACCUUUCGUAGCACCGCCGCCACCUGGUUAUCCAACCAUGGAUAAUUCUGCCAAUCAGAAUCAAGCUCCAGUGGAAACCAAGUCCAGAGGCGAUGGUUUCUGGAAGGGAUGUUGUGCUGCGUUGUGUUGCUGCUGUGUGUUGGAUGCUUGCUUUUGAUCGUCGUCAAGAUUUCUAAUGUUACAGAGUGGUUUCUGCAGAUUGAUAUUUAUUUAUUUGUGUAAUUUAGAGGAUGGGGGUGGAAGCUUUUUGUAUUAUUCUUUCCUUUUCUUCUUUAUCUUUAGUAAUUGAGCUGUCUCUGUAACUCUUUCUGUUUGUAUUUGAUACAUUUCUUGUUCUAAUAAACUUCCUCUUGCUUGUCUAUCUCAUCCAUUGCUUUUUUUAAUAUUUUUAUUCACAGAAGAAACAAAGGAUAAAUUAACAUCAGACCAA